UCGGGAAUUCUUUCCAUCCCGUUUUCUCUUUGAACUCCUAUCCAAGGAGAAGCCACAAGAGUCCCAAUCCCCUUAAGAAUCUAAAUCCUCGAAAAUGUAUCUAAAGUAUUUUUUUCUUAGUCUCCUUUUUACAGAUCGGAAGUUUUAUAUCUGAAACUGCUGUGUUUUCUUCAGUAAAGGCAUGUUUUCCUUGUCGCUGCAUUUUUUUCAGGUUGUGGUCUUCUUCCCGAAUGAUGCACUGCUAGGUGAUGCGUGGCUGAUUGAAGGCACCAAUUUCACAUCUGCUGGUAUGUAUGUCAUGCUUACGGAAUUGCUUUUAGUAUAACAACACAGUUUGCUGCCUUUAGCAUUGUCUUCAGCAUCUCUAGAAGGGUUGGUAUUGCUGUCAAGUACAUGCUGGUUUCUAUUUUCAUAUGUGCUAAACUGCUAAUUAAGAUCGUUCCAUCUCGUGAUUCCUGUGAUAUAGUUAAGUACAGGGUGAGUGGGCCUGCUUUCUAUUCUCAUGUUACAUGGUAAAUCCUUUUGAAUUUUGUCCGUGCCGCAGGUGGUCCAGCUCAGAUUAUUUCUUCUUAUCAUAUUUGUUCUUCUCAAGUUGAAGUUUCACUCACAAGAUGCAUUUGUUUUGUGAGUAGUGACAUACGUCACAACGCACCGACAUGCUCAGAGCAUCCAGAGUGUCCGCGCGUUCAGGCAAAGCGCGAGCGCUUUGGCAUCCAGAAUUCAGGAGGUGUCGGUCUGUGAUGUCACACAACCUUGGCCUUGGGGUCGUUGCCAGAGAUUUUUGUUGUGUGGAUCUGGUUUGAUUUCUUUUGACAGAUUGUUCGGUGAAUUAUCAAUUUACCAACCUGGCCAAGCUAAUGAAAAUGAUAUUGAUUGGGAAUACACAAAGCACAAGUAUCUGUAAGUGCCAUCUUUUCCUCUAUACCGGCUCAUAUAAAAAUUGAACCUUGUCGUUCCUUAUACUCUCAUGCAGCAUUGGCUAGCAUCUUAGAGUGGAGGUAUUUUCUACUUGGUAGCGACGGCCCACAUAGGCAAUCAGCCUAGAUGUAAUAGAUGGAGAGGGUUACACCGAUCUGGAGACAUGAAAAGUUAUAUAUCAAAAAGUACUUGACUGACUGUAUCUUGCACAUACAUGUAUGUUACUUGACAGACUGCACCCUACACAUACAUGUAUUUUCAUUUGAGUUAUGCUUUCUAAUAUACGUAUGUUGUGUAGUCAAACAAUUAGUUUGCUGCUCCUUUGUUUUCAGGAUGUAUUUGUACAUGCUGAUGCAGUCUUAGAGGGAAUUGAUUCUACUUAGUUACUUGUGUGGAGCAGGGAUCAUGCCCAGGAACCCAAUUGCAGAUUGCUGCAAAUGACAGUUGCAAAUGUUAGGUACUUAAGCUACCAUAGGUAGCUGGUGUAUUUCCAGACACGAUCUAUUUAGCUUACAUCAGACAAUUGCUGCACCACAUGUAUUUUUAACAACAGUUGAUUCCAUAUUAUGCCAUCGUUAAUAAUUUCUCCUUUUGUACUUCGUGUUGCCCUAUGUGGCUGUAAACAAUGUAGUGAAGACUAUCCUUUGUCUCAUUUAUCUUUAAAUUAUUUAUUAUCGUUGUAACCAGUUCACUUAGUAAUGACCCGUCUAUGUAUAUUCACUUCU